rnacentral:rRNA from 1 species
UACGUAGGGGGCAAGCGUUGUCCGGAAUCAUUGGGCGUAAAGAGCGUGUAGGCGGCCCGGUAAGUCCGCUGUGAAAGUCCAGGGCUCAACCCUGGGAUGCCGGUGGAUACUGUCGGGCUCGAGUCCGGAAGAGGAGUGUGGAAUUCCUGGUGUAGCGGUGAAAUGCGCAGAUAUCAGGAGGAAUACCAAUGGCGAAGGCAGCACUCUGGGACGUGACUGACGCUGAGACGCGAAAGCGUGGGGAGCAAACAGG